rnacentral:rRNA from 1 species
GUGUUCAUACCAGCACUAGUGCACCGGAUCCCAUCAGAACUCCGAAGUUAAGCGUGCUUGGGCUAGAAUAAUACUAGGAUGGGUGGCCCACUGGGAAGUCCUCGUGUUGCACCCC